GACGAACGCUGGCGGCGUGCUUAACACAUGCAAGUCGAACGGAAAGGACCUGCUUUUGUGGGGUGCUCGAGUGGCGAACGGGUGAGUAACACGUGAGUAACCUGCCCUUGACUUUGGGAUAACUUCAGGAAACUGGGGCUAAUACCGGAUAGGAGCUCCUGCUGCAUGGUGGGGGUUGGAAAGUUUCGGCGGUUGGGGAUGGACUCGCGGCUUAUCAGCUUGUUGGUGGGGUAGUGGCUUACCAAGGCUUUGACGGGCAGCCGGCCUGAGAGGGUGACCGGCCACAGUGGGACUGAGAUACGGCCCAGACUCCUACGGGAGGCAGCAGUGGGGAAUAUUGCACAAUGGGCGGAAGCCGGAUGCAGCAACGCCGCGUGCGGGAUGACGGCCUUCGGGUUGUAAACCGCUUUCGCCUGUGACGAAGCGUGAGUGACGGUAAUGGGUAAAGAAGCACCGGCUAACUACGUG
rnacentral:rRNA from 1 species